rnacentral:rRNA from 1 species
UACGGAGGGUGCAAGCGUUAUCCGGAUUUACUGGGUUUAAAGGGUGGUGUAGGCGGACUUUUAAGUCAGCGGUGAAAUCUCCGGGCUCAACCCGGAACUGCCAUUGACUACUAUUGGUCUUGAAUGUUGUUGAGGUGGGCGGAACGGGUCAUGUAGCGGUGGAAAUCGCAUAGAUAUGGACCCGGAACACCGAUGCGAACGGCAGCC